rnacentral:rRNA from 1 species
UACGGGGGGGGUAAGCGUUGUUCGGAAUUACUGGGCGUAAAGGGCUCGUAGGCGGCCAACUAAGUCAGACGUGAAAUCCCAAGGCUUAACCUUGGAACUGCGUCGGAUACUGGAUGGCUUGAAUUCGGGAGAGGGAUGCAGAAUUCCAGGUGUAGCGGUGAAAUGCGUAGAUAUCUGGAGGAAUACCGGUGGCGAAGGCGGCAUCCUGGACCGACAUUGACGCUGAAACCGAAAGCUAGGGGAGCAAACGGG